UGUGUUCCUUCUGGCCCCACGUGCCUCACUUGUUCAAUGGCACGACUGUUAGCUACACAGGCAUUUCUGACAGCAUGUGCUUUGUGACAUUCACCACUGUGGAUGAUGGUUAAAUGGGGGUGGAGGAGGCAUGGAUAGGGGAAGUUUCUGUGGUCAGGUUGAAACAUUGAGUAAAAUUAUUUAUGCAGCUAACAUUUACUGAUUGUGACAGAUGCUGGGCUAGGCAUUUUAUAAGCAUUGCCUCUUGACGGUUUUUUUUUUUUUUUUUGAGAUGGAGUCUUGCUCUGUUGCCCAGGCUGGAGUUCAGUGACGCAAUCUCAGCUCAUUGCAACCUCUGCCUCCUGGGUUCAAGCAAUUCUCCUGCUUCAGCCUCCUGAGUAGCUGGGAUUACAGGAGCAUGCCACCACACCCAGCCAAUUUUUUUAUUUUUAGUAAAGAUGAGGUUUCACCAUAUUGGCCAGACUGGUCUUGAGCUCCUGACGUCAAGUGAUCCAUCCUCCUCGGCCUCCCAAAGUGCUGGGAUUACAGGCAUGAAGCACUGCGCCCAGCCAUCCCUUGACUUCUUACAAUAACCUUAGGAAGCAGGAACUAUGAUUGGCUCCAUUUUACAGGUUGAAUGAACAGGACUUGCUGACUGGUCAGAGUGUGGGGGCUUCGGGAAGGAGAUGGAAGCAUUCAUGUAUCUUUCUUUGAUUCAUCUCAGUGUCAGUGUCUUGGGAGCUGGUAGAGGAAAGUAAGGGAAGAAAAAGGCCGCACCUCUACCCUCCCAGAAAGAACUUCAGGUAAGGAAGUAAGUUCAG
rnacentral:lncRNA from 10 species